UAAACUCAUUCACGCUUGAAACCAAAUUAUACAUUUCUAGCAAUUGUUUUUUUGGCAAGAGCUUAGAUUGUCGUGUCCUUCGUGUUAAAUUUUGCUGUUGUCCAUUUGCUAGCAUAACUUAGCCUCCUGCUAGCUACAGUAGAUCGAGCUAUUACGAGCUAAUGUUACUGUAGCGUGUUAGCCUACUUCUUCCAAUUUAACAACGUAUUGCCUUCAGUGCAUACAUAUGAUCAAAAACAGAUUCAAGACAAUAGCGGGCAAGUUCAGCUAUUCGGUUUUCAGCCCGGAUAUCAGCUCUGUUCCAUGCUAGCGAGUGACAAUGUCAGUCAGUGUUGUUUUUGCAUGACGUUUAUUUGACAGCAACUAAAGAUUGAGCACAUUUGAGGUGCGUUGCUACGUUAUCAUCUAAUACGAGUCAAGAAGAGGUGACAUGGUUGUUGGUAGUUACCAACCCGAGUAGCCCUUGGCCAUCGAGCGAGACUGGAUGUCCCACAUUCCUGACAGAAAAGACGAAUCUCCAGGCGGCUCCUAAGGGGAGAGAGAGGUUAGCAUCAUGGAGGCACGGUUUGGCAAUGUGGUGUUCAGCUCCCGUUUCGACUCAGGGAACUUGGCACGAGUGGAGAAAGUGGAGAGAGCUAGCUCCUCCCCCUCUGCAGACCUUGCAUCCACAGGGAACGCCUCCUCAGCCCUUAACUCCGCCCCCGACUACGAGUUCAACGUGUGGACCAGCCCAGACUGUGCUGGGACGGAAUACGAGAAUGGGAACAGGUCAUGGUUCUACUUCAGUGUUCGUGGUGGCAUCCCUGGGAAGCUGCUGAAGAUUAACGUGAUGAACAUGAACAAGCAGAGCAAGCUGUACAGCCAGGGCAUGGCCCCUCUCGUACGCACGCAGCCUAGCAAGAACCGCUGGGAGAGGGUCCGAGACAGACCCAGCUCUGAGUUGGUGGAUAAUCAGUUCAUCCUGUCGUUUACCCACCGGCUGUUGGAGGUGCGAGGAGCAACCACCUAUUUCUGCUUCUGCUACCCUUUCUCCUAUAUGGAGAGCCAGGAGUUACUACAACAGCUGGAUGAGAAAUACCCCAGCACUGCAGCACUGAACCCCAGCAGUGCGAAGGACAGUGUGUACUACCACAGGGAGGUGCUGUGUCACACUCUGGAUGGCAACAGGGUCGACCUCCUGACUGUCACCAACUGUCACGGGAUGCAUGAGGAGAGGGAGCCUCGCCUGCCCAACCUGUUCCCUGACACCUCCACACCCCGACCACACCGCUUCCCAGGCAAACGGGUGUUCUUCCUGAGCAGUCGUGUGCACCCUGGCGAGACACCCUCGUCCUUCGUGUUCAACGGUUUCCUCAACUUCAUCCUGAGGAGAGACGACCCGCGUGCUCAUGCUCUCCGAAACAUAUUUGUCUUCAAGCUCAUUCCUAUGCUCAACCCUGACGGGGUGGUCCGCGGCCACUACAGGACUGAUUCCAGGGGGGUGAACCUGAACAGGCAGUAUCUCAACCCCAGCCCUCAGCUGCACCCCUCCAUCUACGGGGCCAAAGCGCUGCUGUUGUACCACCACACACACAACCGCCUGCAAAAGCCCAACACACACCCCAACACAUACCCCAACACACACACCAAUGCCCCUCCCCUCACUACCAAGACCACCAAUCAACACCAAGCCCCUCCCCUCACCGCCCUUGAGCUCAGCCUAAACCAACGCAACUCCGGGAAAGACUCAAACCCCAUCCUCCCAGAGGUCCCCAUGGUGACGGAGGAGAAUGGCUGGGUCACCACGGAAACGGGGAAGGGAGAGGAGAUCAACUGUAAUAAGAACCAAGCACCAAGUUCCUCAGAGACCACGCCUCUUAUCCCUCUGGAGCUGACACUCACAGACGAGGAGCCAAUCCCUGCUCACGAGGGGGGCGUGGCCUACUAUGUGGACCUCCAUGGCCACGCCUCCAAACGGGGCUGCUUCAUGUACGGGAACAGCCUAUCAGACGAGAGCCAGCAGGUGGAGAACAUGCUCUAUCCCAAGCUGAUCGCCGUGAACUCGGCCCACUUCGACUUCCUGGGCUGCAACUUCUCCGAGAAGAACAUGUACGCUCGAGACAAGAGAGACGGCCAGUCUAAAGAGGGCAGCGGGCGCGUGGCCAUACACAAGGCCAUAGGACUGCUGCACAGUUACACCCUGGAGUGUAACUACAACACAGGCAGAGGGGUCAACACCAUCCCUCCUGCCUGUCACGACAACGGCCGAGCCACGCCCCCUCCCCCUCCCGCCUUCCCGCCCAAAUACACACCAGACAUCUACGAACAGGUGGGCCGUGCGGUGGCCAUAUCAGCCCUGGACAUGGCGGAGUGUAACCCGUGGCCACGCCUCGUCCUAUCAGAGCACAGCUGCCUGAGCACUCUCCGCGCCUGGAUCCUCAAACACGUACGCAACAGCAAGGGCCCGAACACACACACACACGCUCAGCCCCGCGUGUACCGCAACGGAAGCAAGGCUUCACCUCCCAAGAGCUGCAGCACCUACCUGUCCAGCUCGGUGUCGGAGAACGCUCUGAGCGGUGUGGUCUCCAGCAGCCACAGCAGCAGCAGCAGCAGCCAGACUCCCUCCCCCAGGAUCCACGUCUCCCCCAGCUUCACCUUCGGCUGCCCGCCGCCGCCGUCACGCACGCUAGCGCGCACCAACACGCACGCGGCCCGCGGAGCCACCAAGACCCUCGGCCCGGUCAGAGACACUAAGGCACAGGAGAAGAGACGCCCCCACCUCCGCUCCGUCCUGCGGUCUCCUAGCAACAGCCACGCCCCCUCCCGCCCCCCCCUCUCCCCCGCCUCCUCCUCGUCCUCCUCGUCCUCCUCCUCGGUGUGUGCGGUGGGCUCCUGCCCUCUGCCGGCCUCCGUCACUAUGGCAGGUCUGUACUCCCUCCAGCCUCCCAGCCUGUCGGCCCUGCUCCCCUCCCUGCAGGCCCUGCCCCGGCCUGGGCUGCUCUCCAAACUGAGCCCCCUGCUCCAGCAGGGCCUAGCACCUCCACUCGCCUUCAUCACCGACGCCAGCACCUCCCAGACCGGGUCCACGCAAGACUGAAUGAGUGUGUGUGUGUGUGUGUGUGAAAGUUUGUGUGGGGAGGGGGUGGGGGGGGGAGGGUAGGUGUGUGUGUGAUUGGUUGGUUGGUUCUGGGAGAUGAGUUUGUUUGGUGCCAGUCUCAAACUUCUCUUUUGACGUUCCUCUGAUUUUUGCCUCAUACGACAUCUGCACCUUACUGAUUUAUUUUCCCAACACACAAACCUAGAAAUGUGUUUGUAUUUUAGUAAUAAAGCUACUGAAGCAGAGCUUCCACAGUGUACAGCCUUAGAUAGUCACAUAGCAAGGUUCUCAGUUACACUCAUAUUAGAUGCUUCUUGUUUUAGGAUCCUAUUGUAAUAUGUUUACGCAUCACAGUAUUCAUGAAAAAAGUUUUUUCAUCUGAGUGGCCAAAUCAUGAACAAUAUGAACAAAGACAAUAUUGCAGGGACAGUGUGAAGAUGUUAAUGAUGACCUUUUAACAUUUUAUUUUGCCAUGACGCACUUUCAAUUCCAAUGGCAAUGCUGUGUGAGUGUUGUGGCAGCGAUUUACAGUUUUUUUUAUGCACAUUUAAUUGUAUUUAGCAGAUUUUAUUAUUUCUCUUUUUUACGCUAUUUAAUAAUCAUGUGAGCACAUUCUCUGAAUUUCCCUCCCAUUUGCCGAUGGUCUUUGUUAGCUCCUCUUGAGAUUAAAACACUCUCUUUCAACUACUGAGCAGAGACCUUAUGCUCCUGAGACCACACUGUCAUGGUGUAACUGUCAACACACUAGUCUCACACUGUCACAGUGUAACUGUCAACACACUAGCCUCAAACUAUCACAGUGUAACUGUCAGGGUAACAAUUAGUCACAGACCACAAUUGACAAAUAUGAUAUCCAGUGUUAGAACGCUGUUGGAAUCAUGUUUAUGAUUUCUGGGCUUGCAAAUUUUAAUAUCAGAUAAAUCUGAGAGCAGUGAUGGCUCAAGGGUUACUUACGUUGUUUUCAAUGUCGUCAUGCUAAACAACAUCACUGAUCUAGACCUCUUUUCUUGUGACGUGGAUCAUUAGUUGGCGUGGCUGUUUGUGUCGCUGUGUGCUACUUGGUCUGCGUGGCCUGUAUAGUUACAGUUGGAAUGUGACGUGUGGUUAGUCGGUACCUAAAAGUGACAAAAGAAGGGCUGAAGGCAUACAUAGGUUAUAGGUCAUGUGUUUUGUGGUUAGCUGGGACUACAGUAUCUGUAGAUGAUCAUGUAGAGUCACGUAAUAUGAUGUGGGAUUAUAUGUGUGUGUAACAAGGGGUUAUAUUACUUGGGGAUUGUAUUGUAUGAUAUUUAAUCCAGCUCAAUCCUACUCUUUCAUACCACCGUUAAUGGGCUGGACUAAGCGUGGUUGGGGCCUGUGUUCUAGGUGACGACAGGUGGGCCAGUUUGUUCUCGGCCCAGGCAGGGUUCUGCGUAUGAGUUCAGUGUUGUGUUGUUAGCGGUGGUGUGCCUUGCUCCGCCCUCCAUUCCCCACCUGGUGCUUCGCCUGCCUUAUCUCUGCUAGAGGAGAGCGGAACUUUCCUACACAGUUUCAGCUGGCUUUUCCUCCCUGGUUUCCUCCCCUUGUGUCCUUCCCCUCGAUAUCGUCAUCUAAGGGGACGUUAACCCUUGACCCUCGAGGUCACAGACGUGUUCCAUCCACACAGGGAAAGGAAAGAAGCCAGUCUAGACUAGCAGGAAGCCUGAGUUCAGUCUGGACUAGCAGGAAGCCUGAGUUCAGUCUAGACGAGCAGGAUGCCUGAGUUCAGUCUAGACGAGCAGGAAGCCUGAGUUCAGUCUAGACGAGCAGGAAGCCUGAGUUCAGUCUAGACUAGCAGGAUGCCUGAGUUCAGUCUAGACAAGCAGGAAGCCUGAGUUCAGUCUAGACUAGCAGGAAGCCUGAGUUCAGUCUAGACUAGCAGGAAGCCUGAGUUCAGUCUAGACUAGCAGGAAGCCUGAGUUCAGUCUAGACUAGCAGGAAGCCUGAGUUCAGUCUAGACUAGCAGGAAGCCUGAGUUCAGUCUAGACUAGCAGGAAGCCUGAGUUGUGCGUCCAGUAACACUGUGAACUCACACGUCUACGCUUUUAUCAUGUUGUGCUAUUUGUUGUUUCCCAUCCACACGCUUACCUACUUGUCUUCAUGCGUGACAAUACUACUUCAUCCUACUCGCCUGUCGUCUUCGGUAAUGGUUUCCUGUAAGAUGAGUUUUCCUUCUCUGUGUGGCGCUAACCUAUCUUCCUGUUCCAGACUGUCAUUGUGUAACUGUGUCUCAGUAACACUCUUAACUGUGCUGUCUAUUACCCCCUUACUGGGCUCAUCUUCUGGAAUAAACUAUCCCUCUGUGGAGAAACUACA